ACUAAUUAUUAAUAUGGCACAGGGAAAAGCUGCUGAAUGUUUAAAUCUACCCUAUCUGAUAUGGAGAGACUUUAAAAUUGGACUGUUGAAACUCCAACUGAGUAGCAGUAAGCUGCCUUAACUGUACAGUGGUACAACCAGUCAGGAGAGCUGCCAAAAUGAGCUGACACAAAUACAGCACUGUCUUCUCCCUACAUAUGUCUUGGGUCAUGAGGCAUAGCAGCAUUUGAGCUUCAGAAUGGUGCUUGAAGAGCAUGCUUCAUGGGGACAUGAGCAUCAACAUAACACAAUGACCAAGAUUCUGAUACCAUCAAACCAACAUAAGUUCUUGAUACUUCAUUUUUAAGGCCAGAUUUUUGCCAGUGGUACCAAUAAGGAGACACCAUUGAUGGUAAAACAUCUUCUAGUACUUACUUUUGUCUCAUCUCUUAUGAACCCAUCAGUGAGUACAAAUAAGAAGUAAAGGAGAAGACAUGUUACAGCCAAGAUUUUCAAGGG